CAUGGUGGAUGCCUUGGCGAUUACAGGCGAUGAAGGACGUAGUAGCCUGCGAAAAGCUACGGGGAGCUGGCAAACGAGCUUUGAUCCGUAGAUAUCCGAAUGGGGAAACCCGGCGCGCAAGCGUCACUCCCACCUGAAUAUAUAGGGUGGGUAGAGCGAACGCAGCGAACUGAAACAUCUAAGUAGCUGCAGGAAAAGAAAUCAACCGAGAUUCCCAAAGUAGUGGCGAGCGAAAUGGGAAGAGCCUGUAUGUGAUAGUCAACUGGUUAGUGGAACGGAAUGGAAAGUCCGGCGAUAGAGGGUGAUAGCCCCGUACACGAAAACUGGUUGGUGGUACUGAGCAUACGACAAGUAGGGCGGGGCACGAGAAACCUUGUCUGAACAUGGGGGGACCAUCCUCCAAGGCUAAAUACUCGUAAUCGACCGAUAGUGAACCAGUACCGUGAGGGAAAGGCG
rnacentral:rRNA from 1 species